CAUGGGUUUCAGCUGUCGCAUUCCUUGUGUCAAGCCACUCUUGAACAAAAGAUAGCGUGCGUAUUGAGGAUGAUAUCGCUGUGACGGCUGACGGUGUGGAGCUGCUGACCUGCGUUCCUCGAACCGUGGAGGAGAUCGAGGCCUUCAUGGAGGAUCAAACACCCAAAGCCUUCAGUCCCAUCAGCAGCCAGAAACUCUGAAGGGAUGAAGAUGAUGAUGAUGAUGAUGAUGAUGAUGAUGAUGAUGAUGAUGAUCUAUAGAAACGAGUAUCUUUGAUAUCUCACUCUAUUAAGGGAGAUCAGUCACAUGACGGCUGCCGUUUUGAUAAAAAUAAUUUCCCAUAAACCAGAUUGCAGAUUAAUUACAGAAUCAUUUAUGCUUUCAUGUAGCAGCCGUGUAACAUUUUGUGCUUUAAUUUUCAGAGUUUGAUAUUCUUAAUAAAAGCAGCCUGAAUUAAAAGAACUUCACUCAACUCAUUUGCAUUAUAUUCUGUACACUUUCUGCAAGUUUGUAAGACAAUGCAAUGCUUAUUUUUAAUAAAGGUCUGAUUUUUCUAGCAUCA